ensembl:snRNA U6 U6 spliceosomal RNA
GUCCUUGUUUUGGCAGCACAUAUACUAAAACUGAAAUUAUAUAGAAAAGAUUAGCAUGGCCCCUGCACAAGGACGACAGGAAGGUUUGUGAAGCAUUCCAUAUUUUU